GUGAGGAAUAUUGCGCAAUGGGCGAAAGCCUGACGCAGCGACGCCGCGUGGAGGAUGAAGGUCUUCGGAUUGUAAACUUCUGUUAAGUGGGAAGAAAGGGCUGUUUUUAAUAGAAGCAGUUAAUGACGGUACCAUUAAAGAAAGCACCGGCUAAACUCGUGCCAGCAGCCGCGGUAAUACGAGUGGUGCAAGCGUUAUUCGGAAUAAUUGGGUGUACAGGGUGUGUAGGCGGUAUGUUAAGUCUGUUGUUAAAGACUCCGGCCUAACCGGAGACAGGCAGCGGAAACUGGCGUACUAGAGGGUGGAAGAGAGAAGUGGAAUUCUCGGUGUAGCGGUAAAAUGCGUAGAUAUCGAGAGGAACACCGAUGGCGAAGGCAGCUUCUUGGUCCAUACCUGACGCUGAAACACGAAAGCGUGGGGAGCAAACAGGAUUAGAUACCCGUGUAGUCC
rnacentral:rRNA from 1 species